GCCCUUAGAGUUUGAUCCUGGCUCAGAACGAACGCUGGCGGCAGGCUUAACACAUGCAAGUCGAACGCACCUUCGGGUGAGUGGCGCACGGGUGAGUAACGCGUGGGAAUAUGCCUUUCGGUGGGGAAUAACCUCGGGAAACUGAGGAUAAUACCGCAUACGCCCUUCGGGGGAAAGAUUUAUCGCCGAAAGAUUAGCCCGCGUCCGAUUAGCUAGUUGGUGUGGUAACGGCGCACCAAGGCGACGAUCGGUAGCUGGUCUGAGAGGAUGAUCAGCCACACUGGGACUGAGACACGGCCCAGACUCCUAUGGGAGGCAGCAGUGGGGAAUAUUGGACAAUGGGCGCAAGCCUGAUCCAGCCAUGCCGCGUGAGUGAUGAAGGCCCUAGGGUUGUAAAGCUCUUUCGCACGCGACGAUGAUGACGGUAGCGUGAGAAGAAGCCCCGGCUAACUUCGUGCCAGCAGCCGCGGUAAUACGAAGGGGGCUAGCGUUGUUCGGAAUUACUGGGCGUAAAGCGCACGCAGGCGGCGGUCCAAGUCAGAAGUGAAAGCCCUGGGCUCAACCCGGGAAUGGCUUUUGAUACUGGGCUGCUUGAAUCAGGGAGAGGGUAGCGGAAUUCCGAGUGUAGAGGUGAAAUUCGUAGAUAUUCGGAAGAACACCAGUGGCGAAGGCGGCUACCUGGCCCUUGAUUGACGCUCAUGUGCGAAAGCGUGGGGAGCAAACAGGAUUAGAUACCCUGGUAGUCCACGCCGUAAACGAUGAGUGCUAGAUGUUGGGGUGCUUGCACCUCAGUGUCGCAGCUAACGCGUUAAGCACUCCGCCUGGGGAGUACGGCCGCAAGGUUAAAACUCAAAUGAAUUGACG
rnacentral:rRNA from 1 species